UUUUUUNNNNNNUUUCGUACGAUUCCCUUGAGUUGAUCAUGGCUCAAGCGAACGCUGGCGGCGUACUUAACACAUGCAAGUCGAACGAGGAUCGUCGGGUUAGCAAUAAUUCGGCGGUUCUAGUGGCGCACGGGUGAGUAACACGUGGGUAACCUGCCCUUGAGUUCGGGAUACCCCCUCGAAAGGGGGGCUAAUACCGGGUACGGUCCUCGGGUCGAAAGGUCUGGGGAAGAAAGGUGGCGCAAGCUGCCGCUCUUGGAGGGGCUCGCGGCCUAUCAGCUAGUUGGCGGGGUAACGGCCCACCAAGGCUAUGACGGGUAGCUGGUCUGAGAGGACGACCAGCCACACGGGGACUGAGACACGGCCCCGACUCCUACGGGAGGCAGCAGUGGGGAAUUUUCCGCAAUGGGCGAAAGCCUGACGGAGUGACGCCGCGUGUGGGACGAAGGCCUUCGGGUCGUAAACCACUGUCAGUGGGAAAGAUNGGGUGCCGGCGCGAUAACCGCCGGCAUCUGACGGUACCUGCAGAGGAAGCCCCGGCCAACUCUGUGCCAGCAGCCGCGGUAAGACAGAGGGGGCAAGCGUUGCUCGGAAUUACUGGGCGUAAAGUGUGCGCAGGCGGCCGCGCAAGUCGAGUGUGAAAUCCCCGGGCUUAACUUGNGAAUUGCGCUCGAAACUACGUGGCUGGAGUGUGGCAGAGGAAGGUGGAAUUCACGUGUAGCGGUGAAUGCGUAGAGAUGUGGAGGACACCGAUGGCGAAGCAGCCUCUGGGCACACUGAGCUCAUC
rnacentral:rRNA from 1 species